ensembl:snoRNA small nucleolar RNA SNORD98
GACAGUGAUGUAAAAGCCCUAUUCCAUUUCUGAAUGCUCUCAAUGUGGAGUAACUCAAACUGAUGUC